rnacentral:rRNA from 1 species
GACGAACGCUGGCGGCGUGCUUAACACAUGCAAGUCGAACGGAAAGGCCCUGCUUUUGUGGGGUGCUCGAGUGGCGAACGGGUGAGUAACACGUGAGUAACCUGCCCUUGACUUUGGGAUAACUUCAGGAAACUGGGGCUAAUACCGGAUAGGAGCUCCUGCUGCAUGGUGGGGGUUGGAAAGUUUCGGCGGUUGGGGAUGGAGUCGCGGCUUAUCAGCUUGUUGGUGGGGUAGUGGCUUACCAAGGCUUUGACGGGUAGCCGGCCUGAGAGGGUGACCGGCCACAUUGGGACUGAGAUACGGCCCAGACUCCUACGGGAGGCAGCAGUGGGGAAUAUUGCACAAUGGGCGGAAGCCUGAUGCAGCAACGCCGCGUGCGGGAUGACGGCCUUCGGGUUGUAAACCGCUUUCGCCUGUGACGAAGCGUGAGUGACGGUAAUGGGUAAAGAAGCACCGGCUAACUACGUGCCAGCAGCCGCGGUAAUAC